UGGGGAAUUUUGGACAAUGGGGGAAACCCUGAUCCAGCCAUCCCGCGUGUGCGAUGAAGGCCUUCGGGUUGUAAAGCACUUUUGGCAGGAAAGAAACGUCAUGGGUUAAUACCCCGUGAAACUGACGGUACCUGCAGAAUAAGCACCGGCUCACUACGUGCCAGCAGCCGCGGUAAUACGUAGGGUGCGAGCGUUAAUCGGAAUUACUGGGCGUAAAGCGUGCGCAGGCGGUUCGGAAAGAAAGAUGUGAAAUCCCAGAGCUCAACUUUGGAACUGCAUUUUUAACUACCGGGCUAGAGUGUGUCAGAGGGAGGUGGAAUUCCGCGUGUAGCAGUGAAAUGCGUAGAUAUGCGGAGGAACACCGAUGGCGAAGGCAGCCUCCUGGGAUAACACUGACGCUCAUGAACGAAAGCGUGGGGAGCAAACAGG
rnacentral:rRNA from 1 species